UACAGAGGUGGCAAGCGUUGUUCGGAAUUACUGGGCGUAAAGAGCGUGUAGGCGGCUUGUUAAGUCUUGCGUGAAAUCUCGGGGCUCAACCCCGAGCGGUCGUGAGAAACUGGCAGGCUAGAGUGCGGGAGAGGAGAGUGGAAUUCCUGGUGUAGCGGUGAAAUGCGCAGAUAUCAGGAAGAACACCCGUGGCGAAGGCGGCUCUCUGGAACGCAACUGACGCUGAGACGCGAAAGCUAGGGGAGCAAACGGG
rnacentral:rRNA from 1 species